rnacentral:rRNA from 1 species
GUCUACAGCCAUACCACCCUGCACACACCUGGUCUCCUCUGAUCUUGGAAGUUAAGCAUGAUUGGGCCUGGUUAGUACUUGGAUGGGAUUCUGCCUGGGAAUACUGGGUGUUGUAGGCU